GGCUGGUCCAAGUGCAGUGGUGUUUAUAACUAAUUGAUCACAGUUCAGUUACAGAUUUCUUUGUUCCUUCUGCACUUCCACUGCUUCACAUGACUACACUUUA
ensembl:Y_RNA Y_RNA Y RNA